rnacentral:rRNA from 1 species
UACGUAGGGGGCAAGCGUUGUCCGGAUUUAUUGGGCGUAAAGAGCGUGUAGGCGGCCAUGCAGGUCCGUUGUGAAAACUCGAGGCUCAACCUCGAGACGCCGAUGGAAACCGCAUGGCUAGAGUCCGGAAGAGGAGAGUGGAAUUCCUGGUGUAGCGGUGAAAUGCGCAGAUAUCAGGAGGAACACCGACGGCGAAGGCAGCACUCUGGGCCGGUACUGACGCUGAGGAGCGAAAGUGUGGGGAGCGAAUAGG